rnacentral:rRNA from 1 species
UGGGGAAUUUUGGACAAUGGGCGAAAGCCUGAUCCAGCAAUGCCGCGUGUGUGAAGAAGGCCUUCGGGUUGUAAAGCACUUUUGUCCGGAAAGAAAUCCUUGGCUCUAAUACAGUCGGGGGAUGACGGUACCGGAAGAAUAAGCACCGGCUAACUACGUGCCAGCAGCCGCGGUAAUACGUAGGGUGCAAGCGUUAAUCGGAAUUACUGGGCGUAAAGCGUGCGCAGGCGGUUUGCUAAGACCGAUGUGAAAUCCCCGGGCUCAACCUGGGAACUGCAUUGGUGACUGGCAGGCUAGAGUAUGGCAGAAGGGGGGUAGAAUUCCACGUGUAGCAGUGAAAUGCGUAGAGAUGUGGAGGAAUACCGAUGGCGAAGGCAGCCCCCUGGGCCAAUACUGACGCUCAUGCACGAAAGCGUGGGGAGCAAACAGGAUUAGAUACCCUGGUAGUCCACGCCCUAAAACGAUGUCAACUAGUUGUUGGGGAUUCAUUUCCUUAGUAACGUAGCUAACGCGUGAAGUUGACCGCCUGGGGAGUACGGUCGCAAGAUUAAAACUCAAAUGAAUUGAC